GCUUACGGCCACACCGCCUGGUUCACGCCCGAUCUCGUUUGAUCUCGGAAGCUAAGAUAGGUUGGGCCUGGUUAGUACUUGGAUGGGAGACCACCUGGGAAUACCAAGUGCUGUAAGAU
rnacentral:rRNA from 1 species